rnacentral:tRNA from 1 species
GGACCUGUAGUCUAACGGUAGAACUAUUCGUUUACACCGAAUGAGCCGAGGUUCAACUCCUCGCAGGUCCA